CUUGAACCUGGGAGGUGGAGGUUGCAGUGAGCUGAGAUCACGCCACUGCACUCCAGCCUGGGCAACAGAGU
rnacentral:miRNA from 1 species